AAUUUAUUAAAAAGAAUUAUUUAUCAAUUAAAUUAUUCAUAAACCUUAUUUCUAAAUUUAUUUAUUCAUUAAUUCAUCCUCUCAAAAGAAUACAUACAGAUAGAAAAGCGGGUGUCAACUGUGUUUGGAUCCGCCGAUUUGAAUUAAUUUCAAAAUGUUGAUUUGCAAUUGAGUAUAAAGUCUUUGUACUCACUGAAGUGAGGAUAUCCCUAGGGAAAGCUACGUCAUUGUUUUUGAAUUUACUUAUACCAUCCUCACAAUUUAACAUUUCUAUGCAUUCUCUGCUUGUUUUUGGAUUGGGUCGAGUUUUUGAAGUUUGAAGGACAAAAGUGAUGAAGAAGAAGCUAGGGAUUGAUUCUCCAAGGAAGGAAUCAAUUAUGGGAGUUGAAAAAAUGCAAAAUGGCUAAGGAUCUCUUACUCGCGGUGCUAGUGACUCGGUGAUGUUUCUAGUUUCAUGCUCAUGGUAAAGUCUUAUAGAAGAGCUAUGCUGGAAGAAAAUUGUAUGCUGCAAUCAUGCUUGGUGCCGUAAACGUGCAUGGUUAUAUGUAUGGUGAAGAACAGGUUGCUAAACACGAACCUAGGAGCAGAGGAAGAGAAAACAUAGAAAAACUGUAAAAGAAAACUUUAUGUAUAUUGCAUAUACGUUUAUUACAGGAGAGCAAGAUGUAUAUAUAUAAGAGAAAGAAGAAACGAAAAACAAAAAAGAAGAAUAGAAAAACAGAAGCAACAAAAGGUGGUUAUAGAGACUGUGAAUCAGAUUUUAAUGUGGUCUGACAGCCCCCUCAAGCUUCGUAGAUGUUGAUGAUGCCAAGCUUGGAUGUGAUAUUGUAAAAAUUGAUUGAGGAAGUGGCUCUGAUACCACGAAAAAUGUAUAAGCCAACAUGUGAUUCAACUGAACCAAUCUUGUUGUGUGUUAUGGAGUCCUGUAGAAAACAUGUUGUGUUAGUAAAGAUUAUGUGAAUGUUAUUAUGUGGACAAAAAUCUGGAAUGAAAAGGACAUCUUUCAAAAAGAUUUUAUCACAAAUUUGGACACUCCGUUUUAUGGU
rnacentral:sRNA from 1 species